rnacentral:sRNA from 1 species
CAGCAGAAACGUUGUUAUUCUCAGGAGAAAAAUAAACUCGAGCAGACGAGAUGUAAGGUAAGUGUCAUCACCGUCACCGUUAUAAAAGAUCCCAGAAUACGCUAGAACAUACAGACAGACUACAUAGUUGGGUGCAGUCGAGAUUUCAGAGGCAAGUGUAGUUGAGCUCUUAUAGAACAUAGCUGAGUCAGGAUUCACCGCUUCAACUUGAGAAUGCACAAGUAUUUCUGUUCUCUUCUCCUAGCACUCCUGGUCUGCAUCUAUGCUGUCACUUUGAUAGCGUCCGAGGAGCGCUCAGCUGAAAACGGAUGGUUCUGUUUUUUCUGUAUCUUUAGUUGCGGCAACGAUACAGCGUGCCAAAACAAUUGUUAUCUUUAUUGUUUAGGGUGACUGACUAAUUCAGUGCAACGCAGUACUCGCUUGAAACUUGUCAUAAACGUUAAAACACCAAAUGUUAAACACUGAUUUGCUUUUAUAAUCGACUUGCAAGCUUCAUGCAUUAAAAGAUUAAUGUU